CCAGGUGGGCCUUCAGUUCAUCCUCGUUUUUUUUGGAAAGAAAGAAAGUUAACGAGAAUCGUCCCUGCCGUCGAUCUCCCGAUUAGGGCAAAUGAGAUUGCCUGCAAUUCCACCUCUUCCCCUCUCCUUCGCUCUGAUGACAGCUGCUUUCAGGUUUCAACAUUUCCUCUUGUUCUGUCCCCUUAAUUCAGAUUUGGCUUUCAUCAACCUCCAUUGAACAUUGUUGACCACUUGCAUCUCCAUUGUCUGGGACUCCCCUUCACUCCCCGCCCUGGUUUCGAAGUAACGUAUUUGAUUCGUGAGGAGUUCAUUGAAGCUGGAAAGUUGUCAGAGAAGAUAAAACCUUCAUAACUGAUUUCUUUAGAUUUGCCUUGUUCUCUUGGUCGGCUUUACUUAUUUAAGCCAGAAACCUUAAAUCCUAAUUUUAUCAUUCUUGGUACUGUUCGGAAAAGUGGACCACUUGUUCUAUGGUUGUCUUCAAGCCGUCCCAAUCAACUUAUGCUAGAGCAGCAGGUAACCUCAAGUAUAAGUGCACAUAUCUCCUUCUAUAAACGAUGGAAUUUUUAUGAUUUUGACAGUGGUUGGAACUUGGAACUGAGUGCAGAGCCCUCUAGAGCAUUAAGCAAUCACCGAGAUUGUUCAAUUGAGCUGUUUAGAUCUUCAUCACUCGCAAUGUAAUUCUUAUUUUGAUCGGCUGAACCAUAGUCAUCUUUUUAAAUACCAGCUUUUGGCAACUAGUUCACAAUAGGUGCAUAUUGCUUCAAUUAUUGGUACAUUUUUCAGCAGCAUAAAUGAAGAGUCAAGCAAUUACUUGACUAUGAAUUGCACUUAUCGUUGUCACAUUGCAUUCUAGUAUUCGCCAUGUUUGGUUUUCUUUUUCCACAAGUCGGAUACUAAACCUUUUUCUGAUCACAUCCUCUUACCCCAUGAAUCAUAGGCCGUGAUACUAGAAUAUCACUUCUUGACAGAUCACACUUUCUCCUCCUAUUCCGCUAGUUUAGACUUUAAAUAUUUCUGUGAUCAUGGAAUUGUAGAAUUUUUUCCCUACUAACUAAGAUGCAGAGAUAUUUGGUUGAUACGGUAACUACUAACAUGCUUAUUUGGGGGCUAAAUGCCAGAAGCAUUUCAUUUUACACGUUCCGCUAUUGAAAUAAUCUUUGCAAUUUCUGAGUUUUGUAUCUUUUAAUGAAGUUUAGGAAUUGAUUAUUUCAAAGUCUUGGGUUUUAUCGUUUCCUGGAGGUGGUGUUCAUAACAUGAGACUCAGACUCUACGAAAGUGAUGAUAAUUUGGUCUAGGAAUAAUUUUUUUUUGUUCAUUUUGCUUCACUCUCGUUGAAUAUAG